CCUCCGUGAAUGUCCUGGUACAGAACUGCAAGAUCUACAAUGAUGCCAGCUGUGACAUUUCUGCAGAUGGCCAGCUCCUGGCAGCUUUCAUCCCGAGUAGCCAGAGGGGCUUUCCUGAUGAAGGCAUCCUGGCAGUGUAUUCCCUGGCCCCCCAUAACUUGGGGGAAAUGCUCUACACCAAGCGAUUUGGUAAGGGAUAGGAAGCCCAACCUAAUGACAGAGUUGACGCUGAUGCCUUGGCAUAGGCAUUCCUAGGUGAGGCAUGGAGUACAUGGGUGAGAGUAAUGGUCACGUACUACCUCUGCCUUCAGUCACUGAGGCACAGCCAGAGAAAGAUGGCUUUGCAGGAGUCCUGGCUAUAGGAUUCAUUACAGAAGCAGAAUCUCACAGUAAGAGUUCUCCCUGCCACAACAGCAUCACCAGUGUGCUCCUGUCACAAAAGCUAGCAAUAAGGAAGGAGCUUUUUAGUUGUGGCAUGGAAAGCUGGGUAAGCACAUGCACUGCAAGGUAAUUUAAGGUCUUCCAGAGCAUGUGCAUGCUUUUAUCCAGAGAUUCUACUCUAAGGAAAUAACCCACU
rnacentral:lncRNA from 1 species